GGGGGGAGGCUGGAUCCUGGGCUGUGUCCCAGCGCCCAAUGCUCCCGGGCCUGCGCUGUUGGAUUCUCGCUCCCAGCACGCAGCCUCCU
rfam:Canis lupus familiaris chromosome 8, whole genome shotgun sequence.